CUGGCCCUGAACAAUGCCGGCAGCUUCCUGGCGCUGUUGGUUUCAAGCAGGAGCCUAAAGAGAUGUCUUUCUAUGGUCUGUUGGCCAUUUCAGAACUUGUGUAUUGAAAUGGUCAAUUCAUUAGAAAAAAACAGCG
ensembl:snoRNA